rnacentral:pre_miRNA from 1 species
ACUACCCCUCUGAGGUUUGAUUUUGUCAUAAUUUUUAGGGGCCAAUUUUAAUAUUUCUAUAAAUGUAAUGGGGGCUUUUGAAAAUUCUAUUCUUGUGAAGGGAAAAAUGUAAAGACGGAAUCAAACCUCAAGGGUUUUUU